UGGUGGAGCGAUUUGUCUGGUUAAUUCCGAUAACGAACGAGACUCUGGCCUAUUAAAUAGUUCGCCGAUUCCGAUCUGUCGGCGUUAACUUCUUAGAGGGACAAGUGGCUUUUAGCCGCGCGAGAUUGAGCAAUAACA
rnacentral:rRNA from 1 species